UGGGCGGACGGGUGAGUAACGCGUGGGCAACCUGGCCUGUACAGGGGAUAACACUUAGAAAUAGGUGCUAAUACCGCAUAACGGGAGAAGCCGCAUGGCUUUUCCUGAAAACUCCGGUGGUACAGGAUGGGCCCGCGUCUGAUUAGCCAGUUGGCAGGGUAACGGCCUACCAAAGCGACGAUCAGUAGCCGGCCUGAGAGGGCGGACGGCCACACUGGGACUGAGACACGGCCCAGACUCCUACGGGAGGCAGCAG
rnacentral:rRNA from 1 species